GAUGAACGCUAGCGGCAGGCCUAAUACAUGCAAGUCGAACGGUGUCUUCGGACGUAGUGGCGCACGGGUGCGUAACACGUAUGCAACCUACCUUACAUUGGGGGAUAGCCUUUCGAAAGUGAGAUUAAUACCGCAUAAGACAGUAGCUGGGCAUCCAGCAGCUGUUAAAGAUUUAUCGAUGUAAGCUGGGCAUGCGUCCAAGUAGCUAGUUGGUGAGGUAACGGCUCACCAAGGCAAUGAUUGGUAGGGGAACUGAGAGGUCAAUCCCCCACACUGGCACUGAGAUACGGGCCAGACUCCUACGGGAGGCAGCAGUAGGGAAUAUUGGGCAAUGGACGCAAGUCUGACCCAGCCAUGCCGCGUGCAGGAUGAAGGCGUUAUGCGUUGUAAACUGCUUUUAUACAGGAAGAAACGACUCUUGCGAGAGGCAUUGACGGUACUGUAUGAAUAAGCACCGGCUAACUCCGUGCCAGCCGCCGCGGUAAUAC
rnacentral:rRNA from 1 species